rnacentral:rRNA from 1 species
UACGUAGGGUGCGAGCGUUGCCCGGAUUUAUUGGGCGUAAAGGGCGCGUAGGUGGUUCUGUGUGCUCCGCGUGAAAUCGCCCGGCUCAACCGGGCGGGGUCGCGGAUGACUACAGGACUGGAGCCUGGGAGGGGGAAGCGGAAUUCCCGGUGUAGUGGUGGAAUGCGUAGAUAUCGGGAGGAACACCAGUGGCGAAGGCGGCUUCCUGGACCAGAGCUGACACUGAGGCGCGAAGGCGUGGGGAGCGAACGGG